CAAAACUUCACGUGUGUUUGACAGAUUGUUGGGUGUUAAUGACGCCAUCUAGCGACUGAAGCGAACAAGAAAUGAUCAGCAAAGUAACUUUACAGAGAUUGUUGGGUGUUAAUGACGCCAUCUAGCGACUGAAGCGAACAAGAAAUGAUCAGCAAAGUAACUUUACAGAGAACUAUGUACAGGAGGUUUCGGGUUGGAGGAGGUGGAGGUCAGUUACAGCUAAAGAGGAGGCAUCAGGAGCAGGAGGAGGUGUUAGGAUGUCUCAUUGAAGCGGUUAUGCUUAUUAAUAAGAAGAUGCUUCAUCGCCGGACUGUUGGUGUAUUUUUCCAGCAGUAACUGUCUGUCUCUUCGUUCCUUUUCUUUUCUUCUUUUCUUCUCCUCUUUUUUUCUGGCUUGUUGCUCUGCCCAGGUAUGAAGAACAAACAGUCCUUUUGUUUUGUUCACAGUAUUGGUCUUCUCCUGACCUUUGACUUGAGGUUGAGCAGCUCCACCGGUACCAUUAGAACAUGCUUUUUCGCAAGGUGCUUCCUGCAGUUUUGGAGCUUCUAGCUGAACUUCAUCCGUUUCACUCUGACUCUCCGUCUCCAACAUCUCUACAGUUUUUUCCAUCCAACAAAAGGUUGGAUAACUUUUCGUCCCCGCCUUUGGUCUUCGCCGGCAUCCGUUAUCCUUCAGCUCAGAUUGAGAGAUGAACUGCACAUCAUCAUCUUCAACACACCCGCUGUCUUCAUACUCAAUGUCCAUUAGGAUGUCAGUGAGUUGUGGAGUGAGGUCAGACUGGGAUGAAGUAGUUGACAGUGUUAUCACCUCAGUAUAUUCAACAUCUGAGCUAAGCAGAGCAGAUCCAACUGGCAGUAGAUUUGACUCUAAAGAAUGAAAGGACAAAAAAGAGUUAAGGUGCUGAAGCGAAGUAAGCAACAUCUAACACCAGCAGCUCAGACACUGAAGAAUAAAAGCAUUUGACCUCCUCAUGUGCUGGAGCUGAUGUACGUGGAGCAACUGGUGUUGGCAAAGAAGAUGGAGACAGUCUGAAUGUUUCAAGCUCAAAAGACAACACAGUUUUAUCUUGCAGCUUUCUUCAGCUUUGUCUUCUGAGUAUCUUGAGGAUUUGGACUGAAUGACGCACUUCCAACCGGCAGUUCACUGGACCCUAAAGAAAGAAGGAAUGGAGAGAGUUGUAAAGUUUUUACCUCAACACACAAUAGAGUUGUAUAAUAUCACAUCUUUGUAAUCUUAAACUGUUACCUUCAUGGUUGGUUUUGUUGAGACUCUGCAUCUUCAUCUCUUCACUCGGUUCCUCUUUGUUUAUGUGUUGCUCUUUGGCUCUUAUGUUGAGUUUCCUCCUUGAACGCCUCAUCUCAGGUGAUGUAGUUGAGUAUACUGGAGCAACAUGUAUCAUCACCCUUGGUUUAGACGCAGAUGAAGGAAAGGAUUUCUCCUUCUGUCCCAAUGCGUUCAUGUGUUGCUCUGAGUCUUUGACUCUCUUUCUGGGGGGUUUUGACCUCUCAGGUGCUGAAGCAGAGUUUUGAGGAGCAGCGUUUACCACCAGUGGUUUCAGUGCUGACUUUCUCUUCAUCCCUUCAGUAUCAUCUGUCAUUCUUUUCUUCUUCUGUCGUUCUCUUUCUGACUUUCUCCCUCGAUUGCUUUCUGUUUUCUUCUCAAACUCAGUCUUUGUUUCAGAUGCGCUGUACUCCAGCACAGGAUCCAGACUCACUCGCUUUUGCUCUAUUUGAUGGCAUUUCUUUAAGGUCUUCCUCCUGUGCGCAUCACAUCUGAAAUCUCUCUGUGUAGAGUCAGACGGACGCUGUAUUUCUCUUUGUCCUUGCUCCUUAAUACAGCCAAGCUGUAUGAAGAGACUGUUUGCUAGUCCCAUGUCUUAACGUGUUGAACAGCUGUUUUAAUAUGCAUGUACUUCACACACUGUCAUUAGUUUACUGAUCACCAGUGACAACCGAUGAUGUCAUCAGAAAUAUGCUGAGGAGCAGGAGCCAAUAGAAAUGAACUCAAAACACUUUGAAAAAUGCAUAAAAUAAAGAAAUAAAUAUAAACAAAUGUAAUUUUGCAAUAACUUUUAAAACUGCAUCUAAUGACUCAUGUAAUUAAUUAAAUAAAGUUUUUUUAUAUACACAUGUAUGUUUACAAUAUUUCCAGCAGUAUCUGGCCUUUAAACUUUUAGAAAUUACAUUUCUUUUAAUUUUCUGUGCUGAUUUAAGGGAAAAUCUGGAGAAUAGAUGUAACAGAAUUACUUUAUUUUUUAUUAUCAACUGAAAACAUGAGGAAAAUGUUUAUAAACAGAGGAUGGAGAACAGUUACUGUAGAUGCUGUGUGUGUCUGAUCAAAACUUCACGUGUGUUUGACAGAUUGUUGGGUGUUAAUGACGCCAUCUAGCGACUGAAGCGAACAAGAAGUGAUCAGCAAAGUAACUUUACAGAGAACUAUGUACAGGAGGUUUCGGGUUGGAGGAGGUGGAGGUCAGUUACAGCUAAAGAGGAGGCAUCAGGAGCAGGAGGAGGUAUGAAGAAGAAACAGUCCUUUUGUUUUGUUCACAGUAUUGGUCUUCUCCUGACCUUUGACUUGAGGUUGAGCAGCUCCACCGGUACCAUUAGAACAUGCUUUUUCGCCAGGUGCUUCCUGCAGUUCUGGAGCUUCUAGCUGAACUUCAUCCGUUUCACUCUGACUCUCCGUCUCCAGCAUCUCUACAGUUUUUUCCAUCCAACAAAAGGUUGGAUAACUUUUCGUCCCAGCCUUUGGUCUUCGCCGGCAUCCGUUAUCCUUCAGCUCAGAUUGAGAGAUGAACUGCACAUCAUCAUCUUCAACACACCCGCUGUCUUCAUACUCAAUGUCCAUUAGGAUGUCAGUGAGUUGUGGAGUGAGGUCAGACUGGGAUGAAGUAGUUGACAGUGUUAUCACCUCAGUAUAUUCAACAUCUGAGCUAAGCAGAGCAGAUCCAACUGGCAGUGGAUUUGACUCUAAAGAAUGAAAGGACAAAAAAAGAGUUAAGGUGCUGAAGCAAAGUAAGCAACAUCUAACACCAGCAGCUCAGACACUGAAGAAUAAAAGCAUUUGACCUCCUCAUGUGCUGGAGCUGAUGUACGUGGAGCAACUGGUGUUGGCAAAGAAGAUGGAGACAGUCUGAAUGUUUCAAGCUCAAAAGACAACACAGUUUUAUCUUGCAGCUUCCUUCAGUUUUGUCUCCUGAGUAUCUUGAGGAUUUGGACUGAAUGACGCACUUCCAACCGGCAGUUCACUGGACCCUAAAGAAAGAAGGAAUGGAGAGAGUUGUAAAGUUUUUACCUCAACACACAAUAGAGUUGUAUAAUAUCACAUCUUUGUAAUCUUAAACUGUUACCUUCAUGGUUGGUUUUGUUGAGACUCUGCAUCUUCAUCUCUUCACUCG